ACGCUGGCGGCACGCCUAACACAUGCAAGUCGAGCGAAGUAGCAAUACUUAGUGGCAGACGGGUGAGUAACAUGUAGGUAUCUGCCCUUUGGCCUGGAAUAACACGAGGAAACUUGUGCUAAUACCGGAUAAGUCUUUACGGAGAAAGCUUUAUGCACCAUUGGAUGAGCCUGCACUUGAUUAGUUCGUUGGUAGGGUAAUGGCCUACCAAGACUAUGAUCAAUAGCUGAUUUGAGAGGAUGAUCAGCCACAUUGGGACUGAGACACGGCCCAAACUCCUACGGGAGGCAGCAGUGGGGAAUCUUGCACAAUGGAGGAAACUCUGAUGCAGCGAUGCCGCGUGAGUGAAGAAGGCCUUUGGGUUGUAAAGCUCUUUCGUCGGGGAAGAAAAUGACUGUACCCGAAUAAGAAGGUCCGGCUAACUUCGUGCCAGCAGCCGCGGUAAUACGAAGGGACCUAGCGUAGUUCGGAAUUACUGGGCUUAAAGAGUUCGUAGGUGGUUGAAAAAGUUGGUGGUGAAAUCCCAGAGCUUAACUCUGGAACUGCCAUCAAAACUUUUCAGCUAGAGUAUGAUAGAGGAAAGCAGAAUUUCUAGUGUAGAGGUGAAAUUCGUAGAUAUUAGAAAGAAUACCAAUUGCGAAGGCAGCUUUCUGGAUCAUUACUGACACUGAGGAACGAAAGCAUGGGUAGCGAAGAGGAUUAGAUACCCUCGUAGUCCAUGCCGUAAACGAUGUGUGUUAGACGUUGGAAAUUUAUUUUCAGUGUCGCAGCGAAAGCGAUAAACACACCGCCUGGGGAGUACGACCGCAAGGUUAAAACUCAAAUGAAUUGACGGGGACCCGCACAAGUAGUGGAGCAUGUGGUUUAAUUCGAAGAUACGCGCAGAACCUUACCAACACUUGACAUGUUCGUCGCGACUUUAAGAGAUUAGAGUUUUCGGUUCGGCCGGACGAAACACAGGUGCUGCAUGGCUGUCGUCAGCUCGUGUCGUGAGAUGUUGGGUUAAGUCCCGCAACGAGCGCAACCCUCACUUUUAGUUGCCAUCAUUUAGUUGGGCACUCUGAAAGAACUGCCAGUGAUAAGCUGGAGGAAGGUGGGGAUGACGUCAAGUCCUCAUGGCCCUUACGUGUUGGGCUACACACGUGCUACAAUGGUAUCUACAACAGGAAGCAAGACUGCGAGGUCAAGCAAAUCCCUAAAAGAUACCUCAGUUCGGAUUGCACUCUGCAACUCGAGUGCAUGAAGCUGGAAUUACUAGUAAUCGUAGAUCAGCGUGCUACGGUGAAUGCGUUCCCGGGUCUUGUACACACCGCCCGUCACACCAUGGGAGUUGGUUCUACCUUAAGGCAAGGCUUUAAACCCUUGACCACGGUAUAGUCAGCGACUGGGGUGAAGUCGUAACAAGGUAGCCGUAGGGGAACCUGCGGCUGGAUUACCUCCUUUCU
rnacentral:rRNA from 1 species